rnacentral:lncRNA from 10 species
AUAUCUGUUUUAGUACAAGUAUCAUGCUGUUUUUGUUACUGUAGCCUUGUAGUAUAGUUUGAAGUCAGUUUUUUUUAGUAGAGUUGAAUUCUGGCUAUGUACCUUGGUUCGUCUCGAACUCCUGGGCUCAAAUGAUACUCCUGACUCAACCUCCCAAAGUGCUGGGAUUAUAGGGAUGAGCUACUGUUCCCAGUCCACAUUAGUUAUCUUGAUCAUUCUAGCCUCUUUCUGUAAGAGAUUAGAGGUGUGCUUUUCAUGCUUCUCAAACUUUAAUGCCUAGAGGAAUCAUCUAAGGGUUUCAUUCAAUGGCCCAUUCUGCAUUAGUGGAUCUGAUAGGAGCCCAGAGAGUCCACAUUUCAGGCAAGCUGCAAGGCGACACCAACACUGCUGGUCCAUAGUGAGUUGAGUAGAAAGGAUGUGAGGAUGAGCUGAGGAAGGAGACAAUGGUGGGAUCAGUGAGAAAGUCAAUGGGCCAGAAACAAAAAGAGCUGAGGUUUAGAUGCCAGUUUUCCACAUGUUAUUUGAGCUACAACUCCUCCAAUUAGCUCCUGAAGUCUGUUUACCCAACUGUUAAAUUGUAAUAAAAAUUCUAGUUUGCCUUACCCACAUCAGAGAGUUGAGCUGAGGCUCCCGUGAGAAGACAUACACACUCAAUGUAUGACGUGUGCGACAGUUAAACAAAUAUGUGAAGGUAAUGCUAUUGAUUUUGUAUAGUACCUUGUUUCUGGAAAGAGAUUAUGUGAGCAGUUAGAAACUCCUAAAGCUUAACCCACUUUAAUUAAUCUGUAAAAACCUAACAGCAUACUGCAGUGUGUACACAGCAAGAGCUCAGCUAUAUAGAUUGCACAGAAGAAAAAAAAGAUAGAAGAAAAAAAAAACUGUUAACACUUGUGCCUGAAAGAGGAAAUGACAAUUACAUGAUUUUUUCUAAUUCUUCAUGAUAGUUCUUCAGUUUUGUGUAUUCUAUAAAUGUGUGUGUCUCUCUUUUAUAAGACUCUAAAACUUUGGUCACUCUCCUCUCUAUAGAUUUGGAAUAUAUUGUGGUCUUGUAUCAUCAUAACAAAUAAAUAAUAAUGCACUAAUAUUAACUGAGUUCCUACCAUAUACUACACACUGGUCUAAUCCUUUACAUAUGUGAGCUCUUCAGUGUAACUCUGUAAGUUAGCCCCAUAAUUGCAUCCCUAUACAGCAGGGAAAAGCCUUUUUAAUAUACAAGUAAGAUCUAAUUUCUCCCCUAUGUGAGAUUCUCCAGUAAUCUCCCACAUCUUCAUAGUCUACAAAGCCUGGUGGAAGCCAGCCCUGGCCUAUCUCUUACCACUUAUUUUCCUGCUGGGUCUUUCUUUUCCAGCCACAAUGGUCUUGUUUCUGCUUCUAAAUUUCAUUAGCUUCAUUCUCACCUUGGAGCUUUUGAAGUAGCCAAGUGCAUGCACUGGAAUAUCCUACCUCCCCAACACACACAAUUUAGAUACAUAUUCAAUUGUGGCUCUCUUAAAUACAGACUUCAGUGAAUUUACUUUUUAAUAUGGUAUCCCAACCUCAUUGGUAUUCUUAAUAUUUUAAUUGAAAUUAGUACUGUUUAAAAUUAAAUCAUGUAUUUGUUUCCUUGUUUUAGUUGUUUAAUAUAUUUAUUCUCCACUAGAAUUUGAAUUUUGGGAGGACAGAGAUUUCAUCUUACUUCUAGCUACAGACUUGAUAAGGAAGAGGUGGUGGAUAUGGUGGACUCAGAGCUUAUGGUUUUCUUUGCUUAUCAUGGAAUCCAAUU